CGCUAUCACUUCCUACGGGGAGGCAGCAGUAGGGAAUCUUCCACAAUGGGCGCAAGCCUGAUGGAGCAACACCGCGUGAGUGAAGAAGGGUUUCGGCUCGUAAAGCUCUGUUGUUUAAAGAAGAACACGUAUGAGAGUAACUGUUCAUACGUUGACGGUAUUUAACCAGAAAGUCACGGCUAACUACGUGCCAGCAGCCGCGGUAAUACGUAGGUGGCAAGCGUUAUCCGGAUUUAUUGGGCGUAAAGAGAGUGCAGGCGGUUUUCUAAGUCUGAUGUGAAAGCCUUCGGCUUAACCGGAGAAGUGCAUCGGAAACUGGAUAACUUGAGUGCAGAAGAGGGUAGUGGAACUCCAUGUGUAGCGGUGGAAUGCGUAGAUAUAUGGAAGAACACCAGUGGCGAAGGCGGCUACCUGGUCUGCAACUGACGCUGAGACUCGAAAGCAUGGGUAGCGAACAGGAUUAGAUACCCUGGUAG
rnacentral:rRNA from 1 species